rnacentral:rRNA from 1 species
CUGCCAGUAGUCAUAUGCUUGUCUCAAAGAUUAAGCCAUGCAUGUCUCAGUACAAGCCAUAUUAAGGUGAAACCGCGAAAGGCUCAUUAAAUCAGUUAUGGUUCCUUAGAUCGUACCCACAUUUACUUGGAUAACUGUGGUAAUUCUAGAGCUAAUACAUGCAAACAGAGCUCCGACCGGAAACGGAAGGAGUGCUUUUAUUAGAUCAAAACCAAUCGGCGGCAAUUUUGUAUACUACUUAAUUGUUCGUCGCACUUUUUGGUGACUCUGAAUAACUUUUGGCUGAUCGCACGGUCUCGCACCGGCGACGCAUCUUUCAAAUGUCUGCCUUAUCAACUGUCGAUGGUAGGUUCUGCGCCUACCAUGGUUGUAACGGGUAACGGGGAAUUAGGGUUCGAUUCCGGAGAGGGAGCCUGAGAAACGGCUACCACAUCCAAGGAAGGCAGCAGGCGCGCAAAUUACCCACUCCCGGCACGGGGAGGUAGUGACGAAAAAUAACGAUACGGGACUCAUCCGAGGCCCCGUAAUCGGAAUGAGUACACUUUAAAUCCUUUAACAAAAAUCAAUUGGAGGGUAAGUCUGGUGCCAGCAGCCGCGGUAAUUCCAGCUCCAAUAGCGAAUA